ensembl:lncRNA novel transcript
GCCGCCUUGCAGUUUGAUCUCAGACUGCUGUGCUAGCAAUCAGCGAGACUCCCUGGGGUAGGACCCUCCGAGCCAGGUGCGGGAGAUAGUCUCCUGGUGCGAGGAUUUUUAAGCCGGUCGGAAAAGCGCAGUAUUCGGGUGGGAGUGACCCGAUUUUCCAGGAAGUCAUUAAAGAAGCAACCCAUGGCAAAACUAGUUAUUUUCUUAAAACAGUAGGAAGAAGAAAAGCUUUUUGAAUGAAUCACUUCUCAUCUUCUCCGAAGUUGGAAGCAUCAAGAAUCUAAAUAAGCAUUUAUGAUGGCUGGCAUGAAUAUGCGGAAGAUAGAAUGGGAGUCCUAGUUGACCUUCAUAUAAUUUUUAGAAGAUGGAGCACUUCAACUUCUUCCACUCAUGAAAAGAGAGGUGACAGGUGAAGACAGAACAAGAAAACAAACCAAGAAUUUCCCCUCACCAGCCACCAGCUCUGCCAGCAACUUGAUCUUAGACUUCCCAGCCUCCGUAACGCCUCUGCUUAUAAUCUGUCAUGGAUUGGAAAACUAGAAAAAACAGUUUACAGAGUAUAACAAACUUUGGAGGAGUUAAUCGACUCUAAGUAAAAGAGUAUCUAGCACGGCUGUGGAACAAAGGAGAGACUCACAAACUGUUGAAAGAAUAAAUGAAUGAAUGAAUUCUGUUCAUGAGCUUUAAUAAAACAGCUCUGAGUAGUAACAGUGGAUCAAAUUUAGGCUUCUUGAUGCAGGCAUGGUGUAGAUUACUACUUCUGUAUUGUCCCAGGAGCUCAGCACAUUCCUGCAGAGAUGAUAGGAGCUCAUCUGAUACUUGUCAGCUUUGAAUAAACUCCAGUCCCCAAGAGAGAGAAUGAGAAUCACCGGAAUACGAAACUUCCCUGUUGGACUUCCCAACAUUCUUGAAUGCACCAAGAUAGCCUCUUGCUGUGAGAUUAAUAAAUGAAUAAAUGCCUCCAUAUUUUUCAAAUCUGUGAAGUUAACAACAUGUAGAUUUUUUUGCAUAUUUAAAAACUGCAACUAAAUCUUAAUGCCUCUGAAGCAGAUGGAAGAAAAUAAUAGGCUUCCAUUAACUGUGUCAAAUUGUAUAGGUCUUGGCCAUCACUGGUCCUGUUGUGAUGAAGGUUUUUUGCCCUUGGAUAUAAUUUAAUUUUCAAUUCUUCUAAUUAUGGUACUUCAGAACAUCAAUAUUUGAGAUGAACUUCUCUAGUGUCAAGGACUGAUUUGAGUUGUGUAAACCCUGAAUAUCUGAGACAGGUCUCGAUUAUUUUAGAAAGUUUAUUUUGCCAAGGUUGAGGAUGUGUGCCUGUGACACGGCCUCGGGAGGUCCUGAGGACAUGUGCUCAAGGUGGUCAGAGCACAGCUUUGCUUUAUACAUUUUAGAGAGACAUGAGACAUCAACCGACAUAUGUAAGAUGAACAUUGGUUCCAUCUGGAAAGGCGAGACAACUUCAAACGAGGAGGGGGCUUCCAGGUCAUAGGUAGAUAAGAGACAAAUGGCUGCAUUCUUUUGAGUUUCUGAUUAGCCUUUCCAAAGGAGGCAAUUAGAGUGAGCAAAAUGAACAAAAUCAAUUAUUUUGAUUCUGAACAAAAUGGGAGGCUGGUUUUCCCUAAGCAGUUCCCAGCUUGACUUUUCCCUUUAGCUGAGGGAUUUGGGGGGCCCAAGAUUUAUUUUUCUUUCACCGUUGUAUCAAACUACACAGGCGGCCUUGGAAACCAUCACAGUUGAGAGUAGGUAACGCCCAUUUGUUGCAUAGUUUUGUGCUCCACACUCUUAUCUACAAAAUUAUGAAUUUUUUUACAUAUAUUAAUUUCAGAAAAACUAAAAAUAAAACAAAGUAGUUUCAAACUAGUAUUGUUUUUAUAUCUUAAAAAUAAAGCUUUAUAUACUCUCCUUACCUCAUCAUAAA